rnacentral:rRNA from 1 species
UACGUAGGGGGCAAGCGUUGUCCGGAUUUAUUGGGCGUAAAGAGCGUGUAGGCGGCCACACAGGUCUGCUGUGAAAACUCGAGGCUCAACCUCGAGCUGUCGGUGGAAACCGUGUGGCUAGAGUCCGGAAGAGGAGAGUGGAAUUCCCGGUGUAGCGGUGAAAUGCGCAGAUAUUGGGAGGAACACCAGUGGCGAAGGCGGCUCACUGGACCGGAACUGACGCUGAGGCGCGAAAGCGUGGGGAGCAAACGGG